UCUACUACUUAAAAAGAAGGAACAUGUUCCCCCUUCUCCCCCUGCUUUGGUCGUCCUUUUGGUCGUUCUCUAUUCUCACCAUCGCCGAGCAUUUUUUUCCGCACGGGCUCACCUGGGCCGGCCCAGCUACCUCGUCACUGAACCGCACCUGAAACCCUACCGCCCGCAAAGCUCGUCAUCCGACCGCCGCCUUCACGCACGUCUCGCUCGCCUCCCCGCGUCCGGCCGCCGUCUCCCUCUGCCCCCCUGCGCCUCGGUGCGCCUCGGCGCGGGCUCCUGGCCCCCGCCAUCGAGCACCUACAACGUGAGCCCACCGCGGCGGCCGACGACAAGGCCCCGCUCGCCGACCUCUCCCUGCGGGAGCUCCAGCUCGUGCUUGUCUACUUCGCGUAGGAGGGCCGCGACGCCUCCUCGAGGUGUUCGAUUGGCUGCACCGCACCGACUACGUCGACGGCGAGACCAUGGAGCUAAUGACCGCCAUCGCCUGCGGCUGGAUCAAGCGCCUCGUGGGGGCCGGCGGCGACGUCUCCGCGCUGCUCGAGGAGAUGAAAUCGGAGGCGGUGUGGUCAGCCGGCCGAAUCGGUGGCAAAUGACGGCGUGAUCUGCUUCUGUUCUAUCAUGUCGAACACGGGUUUCCAAUAGUAGCGGCAUCUGGUGACUUCGGUGACCUCAGCCCAUCCCCGAGGUGGUGAUCUGGUCGGUGAAGGUACACGAUUACAUCCCUAGCCACCGGAGGAAGGACCACGAGUGCAGCUGGCCUGCCGCCGCUUCUCCUACAUCUAGCGCUGGCCGCCACCACCAUCUUCCCUAUCGCCGGCGUCCGGCGAGCCCCGCAUCCUUCCAUCCCCGCAUCAGCUACCCGGAUGGCUUCCUUACAUCAAGAUUUAUAAGUUUGACUGAGUCUACAGUAGGCAUUGUUCAGUAUAUAUGCAGCCCUGCGCUAACUCAACUGAUUCUGGAAUUCAUCCUCCAUCUUUCCAAGCGCAUGGGAGAAAUGGAAGGUGCUCUAUCACAGCAAAUACCUUAUAUUUUUUGGCUGCACAUUUGAAGCUUCCUUUUUUGAAGAACAAACCUAUGCACUUCACAAGAAGACACUUCUUCACAUGUUCAGUAUCAUUUAGAUAAGAGAAUAUUCAAGGACUUUGCUACCAAGAGUACGCGGGCAAGCCGGAGCUGCGGCUGUCCGGUUGAUUCGGCCAACCAAGUGUCCUUCUGUGUCAUAGAUAACUACUGCUACAAGGGAAGCAAUGAGGUUUCAGUGUUAUCCAAAUGACCCUAACCCAAAAAAAGGUGUGGUACCAUUCAUCAUCUGGUUUUUUCUUUAUUAUUCAGUGUCGUUUCUAGUCCAUGAUGGCAUCACAUUCCAAGAGAUCGUUGAGAGAACAUGCAUUAUCAGUAUGGGGGGAUAUUAUGAAAUUCGCGGGUGAGGCGUUGAACUGAAGCUGGCCGCGGUCCUGGCCCAUAAAAGCUCCAACGGGCGUGGUUCUAGAGUAAUACGAUGGCCUACAAAUGUGCAGCGGAUCGCAACUGAAUGAUAAGUUUAAUAUUUCUCUGUCAAAGAACAAUUAUCAUAUUUACAAUACGUAUACAACCUCUAGCCUGAACACUUUCUAUUUUUGUGUACAAUAUCCUGUGAAUAAAAAUGUCAGUGCUCUUUCCAAGAAGGAAAAGAAAUAGAAUAAAACUCUUUUUUGUUGCCUUCUGUGAGCAAAAAAAAUCUCUUUGCUCAGACAUCAGAUGUACUAUCCCUGGUUUAAUUUAUCUCUAUCUCUUCUCUACUACUUAAAAAGAAGGAACGUGUUCCCCCUUCUCCCCCUACUUUCGUCGUCCUUUUGGUCGUUCGCUAUUCUCCCCAUCGCCGAGCAUUCUUUUUCCGCACGGGCUCAGCUGGGCCGGCCCAGCUACCUCGUCACGUGAACCGCACCUGAAACCCUACCGCCCGCAAAGCUCGUCAUCCUACCGCCGCCUUCACGCACGUCUUGUAUUUAUGGUGCAUUUCGUUUAACAUUAGCUGAGUUGAUUCUGAAAAGAGCAAACAAAUUCCUUGUGUUGGAGCACUCUCGAUGUGCAGUCAGUGUCGAGUCUGUGUCUUCUCUCUACGGGAUGUAUUCUCACAAGGACGCGGACAACAUGUAGCUAACUGGUUACUUUACAAAGUGCAAGUUUGCAUGGUUCCCUCCGUGGUUUGUCGCUGGAAAUUCAGAGGUUAGUUUGCAAAGAAAUUUCUGAAAUAUCUGUUAAGACAAAACUGCUAAUUAUGCAAGACAGACGCAGAUACUUAAGCUCUGAUGAUUAAGCCAUUGCAGGGAUAAUUUUUUUAUUGUCUCUGUUGAUUAAACCAUUGCAGAGUCAACCCAGUAGUUUGUACAACCAAUUUGGUUCUAUACAAUAUUAUGGAGAUUCUUUGUAGUUACAACUCACAUUUGUAUCAAAAAAAAUUCUACAGGGUGUUUGGUACUUCUAUUUCAAAGUAAAUUAGCCAUUUGCUACAUAUGAUUGAACUAUGUUAUAUAACCUGAGUGAUGGUCCAGGUUUAGCGACGCCUGCAUACUGGAGGCGUGGUUGUGUAUACUGGAAACCGAAAAGCCGAUUUCAUUUGAGAAACUACAGUUAUACCUAAACAAACGAUUAAAAGAAGCAAUAUGAAUGCUUGUGCCAGUUUAUGCUAUGAAAAGAAGCCAUAUGAAUUUCUCGAUUGUUUGUGUAAGUUCAUGCUAUGAAAACAAGCCAUAUGAAUGUUUGAUGUUUAAAUUUUCUAUUUUAGAAGAAUUCUAAAAUCUGCAUUUAAUUGUGGCACAUUACGUUUUCCUUCAUACAUUUGCAUUUCUAUUACAGAUUAUAUAAUUGAUGGAACACUUUAGCAAGUCUGCUAAAGUACUAGACAUAAGGGGAAUGAAUAUUUCUGUGAAUGAGAAUUGUGAGAAUAUCAGACUCAGAUGAGCGUUUAGUAAAGCUUGACAACAAAUGAGAAUUGUGGUAUGCAAUUAAAUAUUCUGAUGUAGUGAAAAGGAAAGAAGAUGAUGAAUGUCCAUUCAUUAUUUUGUUGAGAUGUUUAUCACUUUACCUUCAUGUUUUAACCAUUUUGGUUUGCAGGACAACAAGAAAUCCACAUUCAGUUGACAAAUAUACUUGCGGUUCUUCAUCUGGUCUAGCUGCACUUGUGUCAUCGGGGCUAUGCUCAGUAACAAUUGGGGCAAAUGGUGUAGAUGCUUUCUUCACCUUUUGCACCCUCAGUGGAGGAUGACACACUCAGUACUGAAGAUGGAUUUGGUGCUCUGCAGUCUGCAUAAGUACCAUUCUAGGUUUCAGACCGAGCAAUGUGAAUCGUCAAGAAUGAUCUUGCUAACCUAGACCGUAGUGUGUCAAGUGCGAGUGUGAUGUUUAAUUCAAUACUACCAGUUGAGUGCAAGAUUGUAAGAGCUUGGUUUUUGUGAAUUAAUAAGAUAACUUUUUCAAAAAGAAAAGAUAAAGCAUAUCUUUAUAUGGUGAGGGUUUAUUUGCUGUGAAAU